GACGAACGCUGGCGGCGUGCCUAAUACAUGCAAGUUGAGCGCUGAAGGUUGGUACUUGUACCAACUGGAUGAGCAGCGAACGGGUGAGUAACGCGUGGGGAAUCUGCCUUUGAGCGGGGGACAACAUUUGGAAACGAAUGCUAAUACCGCAUAAAAACUUUAAACACAAGUUUUAAGUUUGAAAGAUGCAAUUGCAUCACUCAAAGAUGAUCCCGCGUUGUAUUAGCUAGUUGGUGAGGUAAAGGCUCACCAAGGCGAUGAUACAUAGCCGACCUGAGAGGGUGAUCGGCCACAUUGGGACUGAGACACGGCCCAAACUCCUACGGGAGGCAGCAGUAGGGAAUCUUCGGCAAUGGACGAAAGUCUGACCGAGCAACGCCGCGUGAGUGAAGAAGGGUUACGGAUCGUAAAACUCUGUUGGUAGAGAAGAACGUUGGUGAGAGUGGAAAGCUCAUCAAGUGACGGUAACUACACAGAAAGGGACGGCUAACUACGUG
rnacentral:rRNA from 1 species